UACGUAGGGGGCAAGCGUUGUCCGGAAUCAUUGGGCGUAAAGAGCGUGUAGGCGGCCAGAUAAGUCCGCUGUGAAAUCUCGAGGCUCAACUUCGAGCUGUCGGUGGAAACUGUCUGGCUAGAGUCCGGAAGAGGAGAAUGGAAUUCCUGGUGUAGCGGUGAAAUGCGCAGAUAUCAGGAAGAACACCCGUGGCGAAGGCGGCUCCCUGGUCCGGUACUGACGCUGAGGUGCGAAAGCGUGGGGAGCAAACAGG
rnacentral:rRNA from 1 species